rnacentral:rRNA from 1 species
UACGUAGGGGGCUAGCGUUGUCCGGAUUUAUUGGGCGUAAAGAGCGUGUAGGCGGCCAGGUAGGUCUGCUGUGAAAACUCGAGGCUUAACCUCGAGAUGUCGGCGGAAACCAUCUGGCUAGAGUCCGGAAGAGGAGAGUGGAAUUCCUGGUGUAGCAGUGAAAUGCGCAGAUAUCAGGAAGAACACCCGUGGCGAAGGCGGCUCUCUGGGACGGUACUGACGCUGAGACGCGAAAGCGUGGGGAGCGAACAGG